GCUCUCGGGUGACGAGCGGCGGACGGGUGAGUAAUGUCUGGGAAGCUGCCUGAUGGAGGGGGAUAACUACUGGAAACGGUAACUAAUACCGCAUAACGUCGCAAGACCAAAGUGGGGGACCUUCGGGCCUCAUGCCAUCAGAUGUGCCCAGAUGGGAUUAGCUAGUAGGUGGGGUAACGGCUCACCUAGGCGACGAUCCCUAGCUGGUCUGAGAGGAUGACCAGCCACACUGGAACUGAGACACGGUCCAGACUCCUACGGGAGGCAGCAGUGGGGAAUAUUGCACAAUGGGCGCAAGCCUGAUGCAGCCAUGCCGCGUGGGUGAAGAAGGCCUUCGGGUUGUAAAGCACUUUCAGCGGGGAGGAAGGCGGUGAGGUUAAUAACCUUGUCGAUUGACGUUACCCGCGCAAGAAGCACCGGCUAACUCCGUGCCAGCAACCGCGGUAAUACGGAGGGUGCAAGCGUUAAUCGGAAUUACUGGGCGUGAAGCGCACGCAGGCGGUCUGUCAAGUCGGAUGUGAAAUCCCCGGGCUUAACCUGGGAACUGCAUUGCAAACUGGCAGGCUAGAGUCUUGUAGAGGGGGGUAGAAUUGGGGUGUA
rnacentral:rRNA from 1 species